ensembl:lncRNA
CGACACGGGGCCUCCAGCGUUCCGGACGCGAUCAAGGCCACGCACCCCGCUUGCCCGGCCCUUUCAUCUCUCUUGGUCUGGCGGAGGUCAUCACUUUUUUGUUGUUGCUCUUCUCAGUCACUUUAUUAACUUUCCAGACGCCAGUGCCGUAACACUCCUGCUUGUUUACAGUUGGACAUGACAGUGCCAGACAGCCAUUCUCUCCUUAAGUAGCCACGAUGGAGCCGCUGUCUUCACAUGAUACUUCAUUACUUCUCCACCCACGCUCAUGGUAAACCCAAGUGUGGAGAGAUUAGAAACAACAGAUUGUAUACGGCGUUGUGUGGAUCCUCUAUUUUCUGUAGCAUCCAGCAUGCAUUACUUAUUUUCAUGGGAGUGCAGUUGAUUUAUAAAAUGGAGUCCGUUACUGCUGUACAGCAGAGAGAUUCGGUCACACACACACACAUUGUUCUUCUUUCUAAUGUGCUCUCCCAUCACGUUUAUCACAGGGUAUGGAACACAGUCCCCUGUGCUACACGGUAGGGCCGGUGACGGCUGUGAAGAGUCUGGGCCAGUUUUCUUGAAGAGGAUCUCACAAUCAAAUUGGUUGGACGGUUUCUUCACGGUCAGACCCAGGCUGAACUUUGGGGCCAGAAUACGGCUUCAGUGGCGCUGGGGCCUCUGGGCUCUUCACGGCCAGGUGCCCGAGGCCCGAGGCGCUCACUCUUGACGCUGCCGAGACCGCUCACCAGCUUCAGAUGAGGCUCACCAGGUUUCUGUUUCCAGAGUGAAGUAAGCCAGGAGAAAAGCAACUAUCGUAUAUUAACGCGUGUACGCGGAGUCCAGAAAGACGGUGCUGAUGAACCCCUUCUCAGGCAGCAGCGGAGAUGCAGACGUAGAGGGCAGACUUGUGGGCCCAGAGGACGCGAGGGCGGGACGCACGGACGGAGCAGCCUGGAGACGUGAACACCACCGUGGAGGCGGGAAUCCGCUGUGGACGCAGGAGCUCAGGCCCGGUGCUCCGGGACAACCUGG